AUGAUGUGGCAGACACAGGUCCUUAUGUCCUUAUUGCUCUGGGUCUCAGGUGCCUUGGGGGACAUCAUGAUGACCCAGUCUCCAGACUCCUUGGCAGUGUCUCUAGGAGAGAGGGUCGACAUGAAGUGCACGGCCAGUCAGAGUGUUUACCACUACUUAGCCUGGUACCAGCAAAAACCAGGACAGGCUCCUAAGCCCCUCAUCUACUCAGCAUCUACCAGACCAUCUGGGGUCCCUGACCGAUUCAGUGGCAGUGGAUCUGGGACAGAUUUCACUCUCACCAUCAGCAACUUCCAGGCUGAAGAUGCAGCAGUUUAUUGCUGUGAGCAGUAUUAUGGUAAUCCUCCCACAGUGCUUCAGCCUCGAUCACAAACCUCCUCCCCAAACCAUGGAUUUCAGGUCCUGAUGAAGGGUGCCUGUGUGGACAUUGUGAUGAUCCAGUCUUCAGGGUUCCUGGCUGUUUCUGCAGGAGAGAGAUUCACCGUCAAGUACAAGUCCAGCCAGAGCAUUAGAUACUAA